rnacentral:rRNA from 1 species
CGACCUCUUGAAGCCGGAAUCGCUAGUAAUCCCGGGUCAGCCAAACCGGGGUGAAUACGUUCUCGAGUCUUGUACUCAC